AUCAUUAGCAGGAACAAAAAGAACGUGUAAAAGAAAAGGCCACAAAUGAACCUGAGAGAAGAUUUUAUGAUGAUCGUCAGCCAUGAUGUCGCAACUCAGGACAGCAUCAUUGCUCAGAGUAAGCUGGAGGCAUUCCUGAUUUGAAAGCAGGUGGUCAGUAAUGGACAAGAAUAGAAUUAAGCAAAAUAUCCAGUGGUUUGAAGAUGUCUUGGAACCAGGUCAUUUAAAAGGUAGAUAAUCCUAAGAGGUCUGACAACCGUAUUAACAUCCAAACCACAAAUGAUGGGUAAUAUGAAAAGCUGGAUUUUCUGACAUACACCCUUUACAUCUGCUUUCUGCAUCAGAGCCAGAAUUAGUUCUACUGUUGUGUUUGUAUUAAAUAUGUGGAUUAAUGGAGCUCAGCGAGAGUGCUGAAUAAGCUCUUCCCAUCUCCAGUGGCUUUGGACGGCAUCUUUCCAUGCAGAGAAAAAUGUGUAGCUUGUUAUAUUCUGUUUCGCACUUGGAAAAACUGUGGCUUGGUACUAAAU
rnacentral:lncRNA from 1 species